rnacentral:lncRNA from 1 species
AAUGAACUUACCAUAUCCUAAAAUUGGCUCUCCUUCAGCCGUAAAAGUAGCUCGUGGAUCGACAUUCUUUGAUUGAACGCUAUUUCUAUUAGUCGGCUCUGGUGACCGUGCGCGACUGGUGGAUCUUUGGGAAACUUGCCUCAUGGACCUUCCACUCAUAGACCCAUAUCUGUGACCCAUUUCUGAACUUGGUCUCGAUCCACUAUAACCACCAUUGUUUCGGUUUGAUGUGUUAGAUGAAGUAGAUUUCUGUGACUGUAAGACUGAUGACGAUCUACGAUUAGGGCCUAACGGAUUGGGAGAAACAGAACGUUGCAUAGACAACUGAGGUUGAGAUUUGUUGUACUCACCAUACAACGACAUAGAUGAAGAUGGCCUUUGUUGACCAGACACUGAUUGCCCACGAGCCCUUGUAGAAGGUGCUGGCGAAACGACAUCAGAUUGGCGUACACUAAGAGAAGAUGCAGACCUCUCAAAGCUUGGGCGCAAGGUGGAGCUUCUUCUCGAUAACAUUGGAGAAGGAGAUCUACUCAUAUUGCUUCGACUAUGACGAAGGGAUUCUCUAGCUGAAUUUUCGGUUCGUUGCUCUCCGAACACCUGCUUUGUUUGGGAAGCAAAACUAUUACUCAUGCGUUGCAUUUGAGCAGAAGUGUGUGCGGCUGGAGGAGCUCCUAAGGUACUCUUUUUGGGAACGCCAUCUAUAUCACUAGCUAUAGAAGUAUUUCGAGAGUGAUAGCCCAAGCCAUUUAAUCUUGUAGAAGAAGACGUCUUACUAAGAGAAACAGGCGCUUCAUCGUCAACUGAUGUCGAUUGGCGUCUUCUCAUUGACGAACUUAAUUCAGCCAUUGCAUUAGCGAUGGGAUCGGGUACAUCUUUGUCUUCUUCUUUGGAUGUGGAUUCCACUGGUGCCUCUCCAACAGAAAGCAUGUUGGGUCCAACGUUUAAAACAACGUUAGCUCUGGGGUCAAUAUCUUCUAACUCAUCAGACUGGACAGACGCGCCUGUGGCAUGUUGAUUGCUAGCAAAUCCUUCUUUAGUAGGUGAGGUACUUCGGCUACCCAUAUUAGAGAAACUAGAACCCAUGAAGGGAGAAGUGGGUCUCCCCAUACGCUCCAUUAUUGAUUUUCGUUUGAUAGAUCCCAAACUAGUUUGAGACCCGUGUCCAUGUCGAGAGAAAGACAACCUAGAUGACCGACUUCCGGUAGCAGUAGGUUGAAGUUGACUACUCAAAAUAAUAUCAUCAUUAUCUUUCGUGAUAGCAUUCUCACUAUUUUUACCUUCCUUAACUUCGGGUGAUAUAUCUGUUGCAGCGGGUAUAGCCUGUACCUCAGUCUCGGCAUUAUGAGAGGAUCUAACAUCCAUUGAAGUCAAAGGACGAGCAGCUACUUCAAAAGUUGGUGAUGUUACAGAAGGUCGACGCAUUGAGCUCCCUGUAAGUACUGGUUUCUGGGAUUCAGCUUCUUGUAUAGAAGGAACGGGAAUAGAAAGUUCAACCUCUGUAACUUGUUCAACUUGUUCAUUAGACACUGGCUUAACUGGUGAAUGCAAUGGUGAAGUAGGUGGUGAUGAUACAACUUCCGAUGAAACUGUUUCACUAGUUUUGGGGCGAAAAGCGCUACGUGUUGGCGAACUUGCCAAAGAUGCAGAAGCUGAGGGACGCGAAGAGGAGUAUGGAUAAGAAGGAGCUUUAGAAAUGAGCUGGUCGAUGUCAUAAUUUAAUCCGUUUUCUUUGAAAUAGUCAUUAAACUCGGGUAAAGGGGGAAUUGUAGUUCCGGUACCUUCGUUUUGAAUCAUUUGAGUAAUAUCUUCAUCAAUGUUAGUGUUUUCGAGUGUGAGUCGAAUCUUUUCACAAGAUUCAUCAUCUUUUACACAAGCAGUAGAUAUUAUAUUUGCAUAGGCCCACAUGUUUGUUUUGAGAAACUCUAAACGAUAUUCCUCAAUAUGUUGAAAAGCAUCACAGACCUCUGUCCAACGAUCAAUCCAUUCCCGAGUAACUGUAAGAAGUAAUUCGUUUGUUUCUCUGUAUUCCGCAUCCAUUUUUUUUACUGCUAGCGCUGCUUGACGGAUUUUUAAAUUGUAUUUGUCUAAUUCACGACCAGUCAUCUUUUUUGUCUGUCUCAUGUAGCUAUUCAGCUUGUUACAACUGUACUCGUAGGCAUCCUUCUUCUCGGAUAAGUCUAUUUCGAGAGCCGUUUUUUUCUGAUAUAAUUCCUCAAUGGCAUUGGCUGCAACAACUUUCUGUUGCUCCGUCUGAUCAAUGUACUCGCGAAUUUUAUUUCGCAAUUCGGUAUUUAUCUGUUGUGAGACUUCUUCAUGCGCUUUGGCCAUACUCCCUGUUUCAGUUCUCAUAGAUAAAAUAUUAUUUAAAGUUGAUCCAACUUCUGGGAUGUCUGCUGAGCUGGCAGCUAACUCUUGCAGUUUAGAUGCGUACUCACGCUCAAUAGAAGCACUAAUUUAGUUAGUC